rnacentral:rRNA from 1 species
AGUAACGGCGAGUGAAGCGGGAAAAGCUCAAAUUUAAAAUCUGGCGGCCUCUGGUCGUCCGAGUUGUAAUUUAGAGAAGCGUCUUCCGCGCUGGACCGUGCACAAGUCUCCUGGAAUGGAGCGUCAUAGAGGGUGAGAAUCCCGUCUUUGGCACGGAUGCACCAGGGCUUUUGUGAUGCGCUCUCGAAGAGUCGAGUUGUUUGGGAAUGCAGCUCAAAAUGGGUGGUGAACUCCAUCUAAAGCUAAAUAUUGGCGAGAGACCGAUAGCGAACAAGUACCGUGAGGGAAAGAUGAAAAGCACUUUGGAAAGAGAGUGAAACAGUACGUGAAAUUGUUGAAAGGGAAACGCUUGAAGUCAGUCGCGUCGACCGAGACUCAGCCUUGCCUCGGCUUGGUGUACUUCUCGGCCGACGGGUCAGCAUCAAUUUUGCCCCUCGGAUAAUGGCGAGAGAAAGGUGGCACCCUCACGGGUGUGUUAUAGUCUCCCGUCGGAUGCGAGGGUCGGGAUUGAGGAACUCGGCACGUACCGUGCUUAGGAUGUUGGCGUAAUGGCUUUAAACGACCCGUCUUGAAACACGGACCAAGGAGUCUAACAUGCCCGCGAGUGUUCGGGUGGAAAACCCGUGCGCGUAAUGAAAGUAAAAGUUGGGACCUCUGUCGUGGGGGGCACCGACGCCCGGACCAGACCUUCUGUGACGGAUCUGCGGUAGAGCGUGCAUGUUGGGACCCGAAAGAUGGUGAACUAUGCCUGAAUAGGGUGAAGCCAGAGGAAACUCUGGUGGAGGCUCGUAGCGAUUCUGACGUGCAAAUCGAUCGUCAAAUUUGGGUAUAGGGGCGAAAGACUAAUCGAACCAU